UGGGGAAUAUUGCACAAUGGGGGAAACCCUGAUGCAGCGACGCCGCGUGAACGAAGAAGGUAUUCGUAUCGUAAAGUUCUGUCCUAUGGGAAGAUAAUGACAGUACCAUAGAAGAAAGCCCCGGCUAAAUACGUGCCAGCAGCCGCGGUAAUACGUAUGGAGCGAGCGUUGUCCGGAAUUAUUGGGCGUAAAGGGUACGCAGGCGGUUUAAUAAGUCGAAUGUUAAAGAUCGGGGCUCAACCCCGCAAAGCAUUGGAAACUGAUAAAAUUGAGUUGUGGAGAGGAAAGUGGAAUUCCUAGUGUAGUGGUGAAAUACGUAGAUAUUAGGGGGGAUACCAGUAGCGAAGGCGACUUUCUGGACACAAACAGACGCUGCGGUACGAAAGCGUGGGGAGCAAACAGG
rnacentral:rRNA from 1 species